GGCAGCAGUAGGGAAUCUUUCGCAAUGGACGAAAGUCUGAUGGAGCAACGCCGCGUGAGUGACGAAGGUUUUCGGAUCGUAAAACUCUGUUGUUCAGGGAACGCAACAAGUCCCGUUCGAAUAGGGCGGUACCUUGCCGGUACCUAACCAGAAAGCCACGGCUAACUACGUGCCAGCAGCCGCGGUAAUACGUAGGUGGCAAGCGUUGUCCGGAAUUAUUGGGCGUAAAGCAGCGCGCAGGCGGUUUCUUAAGUCUGAUGUGAAAGCCCCCGGCUCAACCUGGGGAGAGGUCAUUGGAAACUGGGGAACUUGAGUGCAGAAGAGGAGAGUGGAAUUCCACGUGUAGCUGGUGAAAUGCGUAGAGAUGUUGGAGGAACACCAGUGGCGAAGGCGACUCUCUGGUCUGUAACUGACGCUGAGGCGCGAAAGCGUGGGGAGCGAACAGGAUUAGAUACCCUGGUAGUCCACGCCGUAGAACGAUGAGUGCUAAGUGUUAGAGGGUUUCCGCCCUUUAGUGCUGCAGCAAACGCAUUAAGCA
rnacentral:rRNA from 1 species